CUCUCUGUACCUUAGUUGGUCAGAGCGCUGUACCAUAAUCGCAGGGCCGCAGAUUCGAUUCCUGCCAGAGACC